GACAGAGGUGCCGAGCGUUAGGCGGAAUCACUGGGCUUAAAGCGUGUGUAGGCGGAUGCCUAAGUACCUUGUGAAAUCCCACGGCUCAACCGUGGAACUGCUUGGUAUACUGGGUGUCUUGAGCUAUCUAGGGGCAACUGGAACAAACGGUGGAGCGGUGAAAUGCGUAGAUAUCGCUUGGAACGCCAAUGGUGAAAACAGGUUGCUGGGGAUAUGCUGACGCUGAGACACGAAAGCCAGGGGAGCAAACGGG
rnacentral:rRNA from 1 species